ensembl:lncRNA
GUCAUUUCAACAGAUUUUGCAGAAUUCUCUCUUGGUCCUUUGAGCUUUUGUCAUGGCCGGAAGAACAGGUGUCACAGAAGAGUUCUCAGAGGAGAGGUGUGCUUGAUCUAAGUGAAAUUCAAGUUUUCACAGAAUUUUAAAUGCAUGCCUUUGGGAGGGAUGCUUAUAACGCAAUCAAAAACAGUCAUUUAGCCAGCCGGCAAUGCCAACUCAACCAGGACUGGGCAUGCAGGGACUAAGGUGACUGCCUGCACAGCGGCCUGGAGUCGACUUCCUCUUCCUGGUCUGGAGCGCCGCCUGGAGGUCUUGCUGUGCACUUGGCUUUCUUCUUUACACUGAAACCCAUGGAGCUAUUAAAAGGUGAUUCCAUCUCCUUUCUUUGUUUAAUGCCCUCCAUUCCCUCUAGCACUAACAUCUUGACUCUGCCCCCAUACAUCUCUAUAUUGUAGGAAACUCCUUUUCCAAAUGACAGGCUCAUCUUACUCUUUGUGGCAAAUUCUCCCCACUGGUGUUACCGCCCAAGUCAGUAACAACAGCUUCCAACUCUAGAUCCCACUUAAGUAUCUCUGUGCAGCUCAUUUUAUAUAUACACAUAUGUAUAUAUAUAUAUGUGUGUGUGUAUAUAUAUACACGCAUAUAUGUGUGUACAUAUGUGUGCAUACAUACACAUAUAUGUGUAUAUGUAAUAUAUAAUGUGUGCAAUGUACAUAUAUUUCUAUAUAUGUGUAAAAUACAUAUAUCUGUAAAGAACAUAUAUACAGAUAUAUCACAUGUGUAUGCACACACACAUACAUACAAAGUUAUUUAUGUAGAUAAUAAGUCUAUAUAGUGGGCAAUAAUGAAAGAGGAGAGGUUUGUGUAUUCAGCACAGAACAUAAGUUUUAAAUUUUAUAUGUGGAUAAUGUUUUUGUUACAUUAAUUAAUAAUUUUUAUUGCUUAGCAGUUUUGUACCUUUAUAUAAUGGGUUUCAGUAGUUUUAUAUACCCCGUGCCUCUACCUCCCCAGUACCCUUCUCAGUAAAUCCCUCUUUACUCUGAUACCUUCUUUUGUGUGUGGCCCACUGACUUUAGACUUUCUCACCCAAGCAGGAUGGGAGUUUAUUUGCUGGAUCGGAGACAGCAAACAGCUUCAUCACAUGAUAUAGAACUCCAUCAACCACUUUAAUUGUCAGGGUCACUUUUCUAUCCUUGAUGAAAUCCUGAGGGAACCAGUCCUGUGAGAUGAGCACAGUUGCAGUGAGGUCGUGCGCACAAUGGCUCUGUGAUUUCCAGAGGACAAUUGAAAAAUCAUUUCUAGUGCACCCUUAUGAGUGUCAAGCCUCAGGCCUUAGAAGUCAGCUGUGCAAACCACUGAACUGAGAACGGGACCCCCGUUGAAGGAAUCAGAGAAAGGACUGGAAGAGCUUGAAGGGGCUCGAGACCCCAUAUGAACAACAAUGCCAAGCAACCAGAGCUUCCAGGGACUAAGCCACUACCCAAAGACCAUACAUGGACUGACCCUGGGCUCCAACCUCAUAGGUAGCAAUGAAUAGCCUAGUAAGAGCACCAGUAAAAUACUUAGAGGUCAUUGCUGCUUUGGUCCAAGAAGGUCUGACUGCUGCUUGAAUUUUCAGCUGAGCUUGGCAUUGUAAACAUACCCGUUUACAAGGAAGCCCUUGCUCCUGCCAAGACUGAACCCCCAGUGAACGUGAU